AUUGAUUGACGACCAGAAAAAUCU
rnacentral:siRNA from 1 species